GCCUGUCCUGCUGAGUUACUCCAGCUUUUUGUGUCUAUCUUUGGUCUAGUUUGCUGAUGGAUCAUUGCUCAUGGUCUCCCCCUGCUGGCUGAGUUCAAUUUAUCGUCACAAGUGUGAAGUAUUGCCACACCUAAGCUCAUCUCCAAUUAGGAAAUUGUACAGAAAUAGUCUAGUUUAUUUUAGUUUAGUUUAAAGAUACAGCGCGGCAACAGGCCCUUCGGCCCACCCAGUCUGCGCCGACCAGCGACCCCCGUACAUGAGCACUAUCUUGCACGUCAGGGACAAUUUACAAUCUUUACCAAAGCCGAUUAACUUACAAAUCUUCUUUUUUUUAAUGGAACUUUUUUGAAUAAGUUCAUAGGUUAUAGGAUUCCUGGGAUGUCAGGACUUUCAUAUGAAGAAAGGCUGGAUAGACUCGCUAGAAUUUAGAAGAUUGAGGGGGAUCUUAUUGAAAUUUACAACAUUCUUAAGGGGUUGGACAGGCUAGAUGCAGGAAGAUUGUUCCCGAUGUUGGGGAAGUCCAGGGCAAGGGGUCACAGUUUAAGGAUAAGGGGGAAAUCUUUUAGGACCGAAAUGAGAAAAACAUUUUGCACACAGAGAGUGGUGAAUCUCUCGAAUUCUCUGCCGCAGAAGGUAGUUGAGGCCAGUUCAUUGGCUAUAUUUAAGAGGGAGUUAGAUGUGGCCCUUGUGGCUAAAGGUAUCAGGGGGUAUAGAGAGAAGGAAGGUACAGGAUACUGAGUUGGAUGAUCAGCCAUGAUCGUAUUGAAUGGCGGUGCAGGCUCGAAGGGCCGAAUGGCCUACUCCUGCACCUAUUUUCUAUGUUUCUAUGAAUUGAAUUAGGCCAUUCGCCCCAUCAAGUCUACUCCACCAUUCAAUCAUGGCUGACAUAUCUUUCCCUCUCACUCCCAUUCUCCUGCCUUCUCCCCAUAACCCCUGACACCCAUGCUAAUCAAGAAUCUGUCAAUCUCCACCUUAAAAAUAUCUAUGGACUUGGCCUUCACAACCUUCUGUGGGAAUGAAUUCCACAGAUUCACCACCCUCUAACUGAAGAAAUCCCUCUUCAUCUCCUUUCUAAAGGUACAUCCUUUUAUUCUGAGGCCAUGGCCUCUGGUCCUAGACUCUCCCACUAGUGGAAACAUCCUCUCCACAUCCAGACCUUUCACUAUACGAUAAGUUUCAAUGAGGUUCCCCCUCAUUCUUCUAAACUCCAGCGAGUACAGGCCCAGUGCCGACAAAUGCUCAUCAUAUGUUAACCUACUAAUUCCUGGGAUAAUUUACGUAAACCUCCUCUGGACCCUCUCCAAUGCCAGCACAUCCUUCUACAGACAUGGAUGACAGGAACUGCAGCUGAAAUUGAAGCGAUUGAAACUGCUCACAAUACUUCAAAUGCUGUCUGACCAGUGACUUAUAAAGCCUCAGCAUUGCACCCCUGUUUUUAUAUUAGAGUCAUAGAGUCUUAGAGUCAUGGAGUGAUACAGUGUCGAAACAGGCCCCUCAGCCCAACACACCUGCCAACAUGUCCCAGCUACACUGGUCCCACCUGCCCGCGCUUGGUCCAUAUCCCUCCAAACCUGUCCUAUCCAUGUACCUGUCUAACUGUUUCUUGAAUGUUGGGAGAGUCUCAGCCUCAACUACCUCCUCCGGCAGCUUGCUCCUUACACCCACCACCCUUUGUGUGCAAAAGUUACCCUUCAGAUUUCUAUUAAAUCUUUUCCCCUUCACCUUGAACCCAUGUCCUCUGGUCCUCAAUUCCCCUACUCUGGGCAAGAGACUCUGUGCAUCUCACUAUUAUUUUCAUUCAUGUGAAAACAACCAGCUUCGAUCUUUUUUCAUCAUAGCCUGUAAAUAACAAACAAUUCAUGUGUUUGUCUUGGCAGCUGAAACGUUUCUCUGCCUUUGUGUUUGUGGGAGUUUGGGCCUCUGUUGCUGGAGGCAGCAGCUGGUGGAGGGGUUCUUUGAAGAGGAAACCUCCAGGGCUCUCCGAGUUUCUGGAAUGACUUCCCAGCACAGUUUGUGAAAGCGGGAAGAUGCAAAGAUCGUAAGGUUUUGGGAAAGAUGGAUCUAAGAGGAGAUCAAUUUAAAUACGACAAAUGAUGCUACCGGUGUGUAUAAACGUUCUAGUCUGUGUUAAAACAAGUGCUGGGAUGCUGGUGCUGCAAUGGAAUAUUUGCAGUCUACGGACAUGGUGCAGAAGGAAGGGCAUGUACAAGACGCCAAUAGUACGUGAAGCACAGCACACCGGCUUCCAAUGAGAAUCUUUUUUUUCCAAAUCACUGCAACAUUGGAAGCCUCCACUUGGUCCCUGACCCUGUCCCGUAUUUCACAGAUCUACCUCCGAUGCCUGACGAUUGUUCUUCAAUCUCGCGUUAUCUGUCCGUAAGACUGUAAAAUGUAGGUGCAGAACCAUUGAGAAUAAAACAUAAAACAUUACAA